GAUGAACGCUGGCGGCGUGCCUAAUACAUGCAAGUCGAGCGAACGGACGAGAAGCUUGCUUCUCUGAUGUUAGCGGCGGACGGGUGAGUAACACGUGGAUAACCUACCUAUAAGACUGGGAUAACUUCGGGAAACCGUAGCUAAUACCGGAUAAUAUGUUGAACCGCAUGGUUCAACAGUGAAAGACGGUCUUGCUGUCACUUAUAGAUGGAUCCGCGCUGCAUUAGCUAGUUGGUAAGGUAACGGCUUACCAAGGCAACGAUGCAUAGCCGACCUGAGAGGGUGAUCGGCCACACUUGAACUUAGACACGGUCCCGACUCCUACGGGAGGCAGCAGUAGGGAAUCUUCCGCAAUGGGCGAAAGCCUGACGGAGCAACGCCGCGUGAGUGAUGGAGGUCUUCGGAUCGUAAAACUCUGUUAUUAGGGAAGAACAUAUGUGUAAGUAACUGUGCACAUCUUGACGGUACCUAAUCAGAAAGCCACGGCUAACUACGUG
rnacentral:rRNA from 1 species